GAUGAAGAACGUAGCGAAAUGCGAUAAGUAAUGUGAAUUGCAGAAUUCAGUGAAUCAUCGAAUCUUUGAACGCACAUUGCGCCCCUUGGUAUUCCGAGGGGCAUGCCUGUUCGAGCGUCAUUAUAACCCCUCAAGCUCAGCUUGGUGUUGGGGCCUGCUGCACUGGCAGCCCUUAAAAUCAGUGGCGGCGCCAUCUGGCUCUAAGCGUAGUAAUUCUUCUCGCUAUGGAGUCCUGGUGGAUGCUUGCCAUCAACCCCCAAUUUUUCUAUGGUUGACCUCGUAUCAGGUAGGGAUACCCGCUGAACUUAAGCAUAUCAAUAAGCGGAGGA
rnacentral:misc_RNA from 1 species